rnacentral:rRNA from 1 species
UAGGGAAGCUCGGGUCGAUAACAGGUCUGUGAUGCCCGUAGAUGUCCCGGGCGCCACGCGCACUACAGUGGGAGAGGUUACGUGAAACGGAGCUCUCUUGCGGUUGGGAUUGACGUUUGUAAAUAUGUCAUGAACGCGGAAUUCCUAGUAGCGUGCCGUCACUAACGGCAGGCGAAUGAGUCCCUGUUCUUUGUACACACCGCCCGUCGUUAUCUAAGAUGGAUGUGCGGAUGAAGUUGGCUAGGCCAAAAGAAUCCGUGCCACUAGAUUGGAUACAAGUCGUAACAAGGUUGCAGUAGGUGAACCUGCCGCAGGAUCAAUAAGCAGUGCGUUUUUGGGUUUAAUAUGUAUGUAUACAUUACGUUCGAAGGAUCGAUUGGCUUUGGUGACGAUGAAGAACGUUGCAGAUUGCGAUAUUGAGUGAGAAUAGCGUUAUUCAGCUCGUGUUCGAAUUAUAGAUGAUAUCUAUGAUAACUCCUUGGACUUAAGCAUAUCAUUAGAGGAAGGAGAAGAAAAUUAACGAUGAUUUUCGA